rnacentral:misc_RNA from 1 species
UGUGGGAGCUGGCUUGCCUGCGAUGCAGACACCUCGGUUCUUCAGAUACACCGAGGUGAUGCCAUCGCAGGCAAGCCAGCUCCCACA